rnacentral:rRNA from 1 species
CCUACGUGUGGCUGCAGUGAGGAAUAUUGGUCAAUGGGCGCGAGCCUGAACCAGCCAAGUCGCGUGAGGGAUGACGGUCCUACGGAUUGUAAACCUCUUUUGCCGGGGAGCAAGCGUGCGUUCGUGAACGCGCGUCGAGAGUACCCGGAGAACAAGCAUCGGCGAACUCCGUGCCAGCAGCCGCGGUAAUACGGAGGAGUCGAGCGUUAUCCGGAUUUAUUGGGUUUAAAGGGUGCGUAGGCGGGAUGCCAAGUCAGCGGUAAAAAUGCGGUGCUCAACGCCGUCGAGCCGUUGAAACUGGAGUUCUUGAGUGGGCGAGAAGUAGGCGGAAUGCGUGGUGUAGCGGUGAAAUGCCGAGAUAUCACGCAGAACCCCGAUUGCGAAGGCAGCGUACCGGCUCCACACUGACGCUGAGGCACGAAAGCGUGGGUAUCGAACAGGAGUAGAGACCCCGGUAGUC